UACGAAGGGGGGCUAGCGUUGCUCGGAAUCACUGGGCGUAAAGCGCACGUAGGCGGCUUUUUUAAGUCAGGGGUGAAAUCCUGGAGCUCAACUCCAGAACUGCCUUUGAUACUGAGAAGCUCGAGUCCGGGAGAGGUGAGUGGAACUGCGAGUGUAGAGGUGAAAUUCGUAGAUAUUCGCAAGAACACCAGUGGCGAAGGCGGCUCACUGGCCCGAUACUGACGCUGAGGCACGAAAGCGUGGGGAGCAAACAGG
rnacentral:rRNA from 1 species